GAUGAACGCUGGCGGCGUGCUUAACACAUGCAAGUCGAACGGAAAGGCCCUGCUUUUGUGGGGUGCUCGAGUGGCGAACGGGUGAGUAACACGUGAGUAACCUGCCCUUGACUUUGGGAUAGCUUCAGGAAACUGGGGCUAAUACCGGAUAGGAGCUCCUGCUGCAUGGUGGGGGUUGGAAAGUUUCGGCGGUUGGGGAUGGACUCGCGGCUUAUCAGCUUGUUGGUGGGGUAGUGGCUUACCAAGGCUUUGACGGGUAGCCGGCCUGAGAGGGUGACCGGCCACAUUGGGACUGAGAUACGGCCCAGACUCCUACGGGAGGCAGCAGUGGGGAAUAUUGCACAAUGGGCGGAAGCCUGAUGCAGCAACGCCGCGUGCGGGAUGACGGCCUUCGGGUUGUAAACCGCUUUCGCCUGUGACGAAGCGUGAGUGACGGUAAUGGGUAAAGAAGCACCGGCUAACUACGUG
rnacentral:rRNA from 1 species